GUGGCGGACAAAAACCAACCUCUCUUUGCCUCAAAACCUCUCAGCUCAUUCUCUGAACUCUCUCUACCCGAAACAACAAAUCUAGCUCACUCUCUCGGUAGCUCACUCUCUUAGCAGCUUACUCAGACUCACACCGUGGCUUGCAUUCAAAACACUUUCACAUAAGCUUGGGAUUCACUGCAGAAUCUUAAGAUCAUUCUAAGCUCAAGCUGCACUUUUUCUUACUGGUAGAUGGCUGGGCCGGGAAAAAAAGGGAAAAUCUCUUGUAUGACCAAUUCGACAGUCCGAUGAUCAGGCUGGAGCAUUGCAAUCUGAAGCUAAUACAAGCACCCAACAAGUUGCACUUCAACAUAGUGUAUCUACAAAUACAAGCAAUGUCAAUGGUCUAAACAUACCAAAAAGAUCUUCUUGGAUCCGUUUAUUUGAUGAGCCUGAGUGAAUAACUCAUUGUAUUAUAGGUUCCUGAAGCAUCGAAUGGUACGAAAAAUGGAAGAAGAUGUGCAAAUAUCCAAGCUGAUGGUAAGGAGACCGCUACAAAAACUUUAGCUAAUGGGAUGGCAUUACCCACAUCUAUUGGGAUGCAAACUGAUAGUACUCCUUCCUCACAAAAUGUUGGAUCCAAUCAGUCCAUUGGUUACGAAAGUAAUGAAACUGGAAAUAGCAGGGAUCUUGAUUCAAAUGGAAAUGACCAAGUGAAUGCGCAGAGUAAAAGGGUAUUUACUCGUAACAUUGCAUUGUCAAAUAUAAAGAAGGCUGGGCAAAAGGUGCAUGUUCAAGUUUCAGAAAUGAGUGAAAGAUUCAUUGGAGAAGGUGCUUAAUGAUACAUUUCAGAAGCAAGUUGUGUGAUUCAGAAAUAUGGCAAAUGGAAAGGCCCCAAAUGGUCUCGACUCUCUAAAGAAGAUAGAGAACAAAUGCUGAAAAUUGCUAAUAAUAGCUUUACUCAUGAUGAAGGAGAUCAUGUCAAACAAGCUUUGGUUAAGCAGUUCAAUUCGCAACACCGAAGUCGACGAUAUACUUUUCACAUGAUUUUUAGGACAUUCGAGACAAAAGAGGGAAGCUCUUGCAAACCGUCCACCAUAUGUGGAAGAAUCUGACUGGAUUUACCUAUGUGACUACUUUUAUAGUUCAGAAUUUAAGGCAAUAAGUGAGUGAAAUAAGACGAAUAGAUCCAAGCAAAAACCUGCUCACACAGCUGGGACAAAAUCUUUUCUCCGUCAUAAGGCCGAUAGGGAAGUAAAAGAGGGAAGGAUAGUUGGACCAAUAGAGCUUUGUCACAUGACGCACUUUAGCGGGAAGAAGAAUGCUAUGGUUGAUGACAUAUCAGCUAAAAACUCAAGGAAGAUGAAAGAGAUGUAGUUGGAAUCUCAAGCUAGUGGUGCAAGUAGGACUGAGGAAGACAUAUGCAUUGAAGUUACUGGGCACAUAACUGGAUAUGUGCGUGGUCAUGGCCCCUCCAAAGCUAGCUUAAUAGUACAGAAGAUUGCAGAGAUUCAAGAGUUCAAGAAGAGAGCAGAACAAGCUGAGAAACGCUCAGUUGAGUUGGAAAUUCAAGUUCAAUCUCAACAACAACUUAUGCAAAGGCUUGAGCUCCAACAAACUGAAAUCAAAACCAGCAAACUGAAAUGCAGGAUCUCCUUAAGGCUUUAAGAGCCAAAUUGCAAUCUAGGAAGUAGGGCAAUGAAGUUCAUUGGACAAUCUUUGAUGAUUUGUCCAUUGAAUUGCUGUUUUUGGAUGAUCAUGAAUUAUGACUGGGCUGAUGAAUAUUAGAGAAUAUGGCUUUGACUGGAAGACAUUGGAGAGGCUAGUAGCUUUUGCUCAUGCCGUGCUUCACUUUAGGACUUUUCUUGUUUUUUGGACUGAACUUCUUUUUGUAAAGUUACAUUGUUUAGAUGCCAUAUUUGGAUCGUGAUGUAAACCUUGAAUUUGACAUUUGUGUACUAAAAAUGAUAUUUUGCCAAGGAAUUUGUAAUGUUGUAAUCGGUUUUGCUUGUUUAAGUGUCCAA